UAAUGGCGGAGAUGAUUUUCAUUUUAUACGGCAAGGGCGAUACUUCCGAAGGCAGUUACUGAAGCCUCCCGGUCCCUCCAAGCACGAGGAGACCUAGCAACGUUUCAGAACCGAAGGGUUACACCGUGUUCCUGUGUCUGAAGUUCUUCCUGCUGCUACCACCAAGCUACAACUAAGGAGUAAUAUAUUUCAUGGGUUCUCUAGCUUCAACACCUUUUCCAGAGUAUCCACAGAUGACAGUGUAACUCAACAAAUAAACUGGCAGAUUUGGACUACUGGGGAAAUGCAUCUUUCCAUUCCAGAAUGUCUUCUCAAGCAGCAAGAAUUGGGCCAGGGCUGUAAGACAGUGCUACCACACGGAGUCAGUGCUGUGCUCUGUGUCCUGUAAUAAGCAGCCGAGUGCCCAGCUGGUGUUCCUCUCGCACUCUGGGCUUAUCUCAACCUUGGACUUAUCUCGUUGUACCACACCUUCUGGUCUGCCUCCUGCACUAAUGCCAUGUGAGUUCCCAAGGGCAGAAAGCAUCAUGCCUUACAACUCUGUAUCUCAGGUCCCAGCUCAGUGCUAACACCUGGUAGAUACUCCACAAAUGUUUGCAGACAAAAGAAUGCAAAGCAUGCUUAACUGUCCAAAUAGAAGGAAUAGCCGUUGUUUUCUAUAAUAUACUAUAAUUUCAUUGUCACUUUUUUGUGAAAAGUGUGGACUUUGUUGCACUUUUAAUAGAAGCUACAUGCAUAAAAUAAGAGAAUCAGUUUCUAAUAUUAUCACAUGAAGUACCUUAUACCCUAUAAUUAGGAGAUAUUACACAUUGGUUUUUUUGCCCAAGUACCCCAUUUAUGAAUCUCCAUUAACAAUAAACUGAUCAUUAUACUUACAGGCUACUGAGUAGUAUAUCCAUAGGUCAAUAAGAAGAAAAUAGAUCUAUCAAACUUGAUGAAAUAACAUGCGCCUUAGAACCAACAUUUCUCUAACUAUAUCAAGAAAUCACAGACCAUCUUUCAAAAAUGUCAGGGGCAAGAAUAAUACCCUUGAACCAUACAGUUCUGCAUACUGUGACAGUAAAAUAUUAGUCAGGUAUUAGAAGACUCCCUUACAAGCAUGAAAUUUAUUUCAAAUAGACAUUUGCUAAAUUUCAUCCUACGUGAAUCUCCAAGCACUCUCUGAUCACCUAACCAUAUCCUGUUCAGUGUGCAGUUGGCCUCUGGACUUCAGUCAGACACUUUCAGAUUAGCAUUAGCUGCGUAAGGCCACCAGAUGCCAAAUGUUACGUUAUCACACAAAGAUAAAUGAUCUUUAAGUGCCCUAAAUAAGUUUAUACCUCUAAAAAUGCUUACUGGACCAUGAGACUAGUUUGCCAGCGUGUCUGAUUGUCAAUGUAUCUAUGCCCAAAUCGACAAGAAUUAGUCUCUAGAGCCUCUGUUUCCAAGGAAGUAAAUCUCUAGGUUCUCCACAUUGGCUGCCCAAUAGA